rnacentral:rRNA from 1 species
AUUGAACGCUGGCGGCAUGCCUUACACAUGCAAGUCGAACGGCAGCACGGGGCAACCUGGUGGCGAGUGGCGAACGGGUGAGUAAUGCAUCGGAACGUACCUUUCAGUGGGGGAUAACGUAGCGAAAGUUACGCUAAUACCGCAUAUUCUGUGAGCAGGAAAGCAGGGGAUCGCAAGACCUUGCGCUGAUUGAGCGGCCGAUGUCAGAUUAGCUAGUUGGUGAGGUAAAGGCUCACCAAGGCGACGAUCUGUAGCGGGUCUGAGAGGAUGAUCCGCCACACUGGAACUGAGACACGGUUCAGACUCCUACGGGAGGCAGAAGUGGGGAAUUUUGGACAAUGAGAGCAACCCUGAUCCAGCCAUGCCGCGUGAGUGAAGAAGGCCUUCGGGUUGUAAAGCUCUUUCGGCCGGGAAGAAAUCGCACGGGCUAAUACCCUGUGUGGAUGACGGUACCGGAAUAAGAAGCACCGGCUAACUACGUGCCAGCCGCCGCAGUAAAAC